rnacentral:rRNA from 1 species
AUUGAACGCUGGCGGAAUGCUUUACACAUGCAAGUCGAACGGCAGCACGGGGCAACCUGGUGGCGAGUGGCGAACGGGUGAGUAAUACAUCGGAACGUGCCCAAUCGUGGGGGAUAACGUAGCGAAAGUUACGCUAAUACCGCAUACGAUCUACGGAUGAAAGCGGGGGAUCGCAAGACCUCGCGCGAGUGGAGCGGCCGAUGUCAGAUUAGGUAGUUGGUGGGGUAAAGGCUCACCAAGCCAACGAUCUGUAGCUGGUCUGAGAGGACGACCAGCCACACUGGAACUGAGACACGGUCCAGACUCCUACGGGAGGCAGCAGUGGGGAAUUUUGGACAAUGGGCGCAAGCCUGAUCCAGCCAUUCCGCGUGCAGGAUGAAGGCCUUCGGGUUGUAAACUGCUUUGUACGGUAACGAAACGGCGAGCUCUAAUACAGUUUGCUAAUGACGGUACCGUAAGAAUAAGCACCGGCUAACUACGUGCCAGCAGCCGCGGUAAU